CAGUGCAUCGUGGACAAGUCCGCGGAGCUUAAGGCUCGUCCAAACAGUGGUGUUGUGUUCUCCUUUCUCCUGUAGGUCAUGUGUGUGGCAGGGGGCGUGGCCAGCUUCCCUCAUGGCAGCAGACGAGGCACACCUGUUUCCACUCAGCCCAUUAACCUCAGUAUAAAGGCCUGGUCUUCAUGCCAUACUCUGCCAGAUUAUUUUGUCUUGUUCAGCCAGCUUUCUGUCUCCACUGCAUGCUCUUUCUUUUAUUUUUUCAAUAAACUUUUUUUUAACCACCAA